UUCAGCCAAACCUGAGCAAGCACCCCCACC
rnacentral:piRNA from 1 species